ensembl:rRNA 5S_rRNA 5S ribosomal RNA
GUAUACGGCCAUGCCAUCCUGAAUGCACGGGUUCUCUUCUGAUCUCAGAAGCUAAGCAGGGUCGGGCCUGCUUAGUACUUGAAUGAGAGAUAGUGAAAUACCUGGUUGGCAGGUUUAAU